UUUUAGAAUUAAAAUCUUGUGGCCAAGAAAGGCAAGCAGACCUUGAGGAUCUGCAUCCCCACUGAGGUGGAAGUGGAUUCAUUGUCCUGGAGGAAGUUGGCUGGCAUGGUGCAAGGAAUCUUAGUCUGUCCAUGGAGAAAUCCGGACACCCUUCAGUCUUUGAACCUCCUGACUGAGCCUUCCUUGAACAUCUGCUGCUUCCCCAGAUCCUCCAAGUUGGACGGCUGCCAAGAAUGCCUGCCCUCUUGGCCUCCUCAGGCUGAGCUUACCAUUAUUCUGUGUUGGAAUUUUAGAAAGAUAGUGUGAUGCUAUUAUUAUUCAAUGAAUAACAUCUCAAUUGGUUUAAUGAGAAUGACAUUUCUAGGCCUGUUCAUAACAAUCUAUUCAAAUAUUUUGAUUUAUUAACUAAAAGCAAUUCAAGUGCCUUCAACUAACUUCCUAAAUUACAAGUUAUCUUCAGGAAAUGUAUUGGGGGAAAUCUCUGUGACAGGUAAGGCGCUGUA